rnacentral:misc_RNA from 1 species
GAUGAAGAACGUAGCGAAAUGCGAUAAGUAGUGUGAAUUGCAGAAUUCAGUGAAUCAUCGAAUCUUUGAACGCACAUUGCGCCCCUUGGUAUCCCGAGGGGCAUGCCUGUUCGAGCGUCAUUUCACCACUCAAGCCUGGCUUGGUGUUGGGCGACGUCCUCUUUGGGGACGCGCCUCGAAACGCUCGGCGGCGUGGCACCGGCUUUAAGCGUAGCAGAAUCUUUCGCUUUGGAAGUCGGGGCCCCGUCUGCCGGAAGACCUGCUCGCAAGGUUGACCUCGGAUCAGGCAGGGAUACCCGCUGAGUUUAAGCAUAUCAAUAAGCGGAGGA